rnacentral:tRNA from 2 species
GCGCCAUUAGCUCAGUUGGAUAGAGCAGGGGACUUCUAAUCCCAAGGUCGUAGGUUCGAAUCCUAUAUGGCGCACCC